rnacentral:rRNA from 1 species
UACGUAGGGGCCUAGCGCUGUCCGGAUUUAUUGGGCGUAAAGAGCUCGUAGGUGGUUUGUCGCGUUGUCCGUGAAAACUCACAACUCAAUUGUGGGCGUGCGGGCGAUACGGGCAGACUGGAGUACUGCAGGGGAGACUGGAAUUCCUGGUGUAGCGGUGGAAUGCGCAGAUAUCAGGAGGAACACCGGUGGCGAAGGCGGGUCUCUGGGCAGUAACUGACGCUGAGGAGCGAAAGCGUGGGGAGCGAACAGG